GGGCUCAAAAUAGCCAGUUUACGUGGGAAAAGAGGAAACUCAGAAAAAUGCAUGCUAAGGAAAAAGAGCCUGUGUGUUUUAAGUAUGCCUGGAGCCCAAGCGAUUAUUGCUUCCAACAUGGAUUCACCCAUGCUCACUUUAAUAAAACUACACCAUGACCACCCUGGAAGAGCCACAUGGAAAGACCCUGAGCAGCAAAGGCUGAUACAUCUAAGCACCUGCAAGUCAACGUCUCUAACCAGUUGAAGAGUGAGAGAGACAGUCUUCAGUUCAAUGACAAAUACAAAAAACAGAAGUUUAUAACCACAUGUAGAAGUUUUGAAAUCAUAAUAAAAGCCAACUGAAUGAA